AUGGCUGGGGAGUGUCAGAGCUCACAUAGACCUCCGUCUAAACUAACGAAAGGCAGUACUUGGAACAAGAAAGAAAGGACGCAUAACCAAUCCUCUUUGCUUUGCUUUGGAAUUUACUUUAAUUCGUGCCACUGUGGAUGUAAGGCCCAAAAGAGAGAAUUCUGUUUACACCCCUGUCGCCAGAUCCAAAAGGGAAGAUCUUGGAGCUGUUGCUACCUAGGCUACUCUCUUUGACUUUGAAGAGGUUUUUCUCCAGAUCUGCCCACAGAAGCUUCAGAUACCAGAACAAUCUGGUCUUAUUCAACUCAUUUCAAGUCAGCAAAUGAGAACUGAGCAAGCAUCUGUGUUUCAGGCACCGCGGGAGUUUCAGAGAUGAGUAAGGUAUAUUCGCUGCCCCCAUAAAUAAACCAGGUGGAACUAGAGAAACA
rnacentral:lncRNA from 1 species